rnacentral:rRNA from 1 species
CUUUAUUGGAGAGUUUGAUCCUGGCUCAGGAUGAACGCUGGCGGCGUGCCUAAUACAUGCAAGUCGAGCGAACUUCAUAAGAGCUUGCUCUUAUGAAGUUAGCGGCGGACGGGUGAGUAACACGUGGGUAACCUGCCCAUAAGACUGGGAUAAC